AGAGCGAACGCUGGCGGCAGGCCUAACACAUGCAAGUCGAACGAACUCUUCGGAGUUAGUGGCGGACGGGUGAGUAACACGUGGGAACGUGCCUUUUGGUUCGGAAUAACUCAGGGAAACUUGUGCUAAUACCGAAUGUGCCCUUCGGGGGAAAGAUUUAUCGCCAUUAGAGCGGCCCGCGUCUGAUUAGCUAGUUGGUGAGGUAAUGGCUCACCAAGGCUUCGAUCCGUAGCUGGUCUGAGAGGAUGAUCAGCCACACUGGGACUGAGACACGGCCCAGACUCCUACGGGAGGCAGCAGUAGGGAAUAUUGGACAAUGGGCGAAAGCCUGAUCCAGCCAUGCCGCGUGAGUGAAGAAGGCCUUAGGGUUGUAAAGCUCGUUUGGCGGGGAAGAUAAUGACGGUACCGCAGAAUAAGCUCCGGCUAACUUCGUGCCAGCAGCCGC
rnacentral:rRNA from 1 species